ACAACAUUCGGACCGUCGGUCUACCGAGCAAUAUCACCCGCUCGGUGGAAGAUCUUCCUUUGUCGU
rnacentral:pre_miRNA from 1 species